rnacentral:lncRNA from 1 species
AUUGAAUUACAACUUACCCUAUAGUAACUGUUUGAACUAGCCUAUCACUCUGGUCAGAAUUGGCGCACAAGUUUGGCGAGCAAAAGGCGAGGUUUACGUUCUUUGGCGGUUAGGGGUUCUGCAUUCCUAAAUGAGCCAGUUUCCAGUAAGGGUGUGCUCAGCGGUUUGACUAGGGUGGGGGAGUGUCUUAAGCAAUAAGUAGGUCAUGUGGGGGUUAUACAUGAGAUGGUGGGUAUAGCCCAAAAUGGAGUUAGUCUUGCUCUGCUUGUCCAGGGGUAGGGGAUUUUUGUUAAAUUCCUUGGGUCCCACAGUACUGCCGCUGGGUCCCGAGAGGUGAUGUCUGUAAAGGCAAAGGCUUGGCACAGGCCUGAAACUGGAGGGAACUGUGGUUUUCACCUUUGUUGCCUUUAACAGCUGUGCAACUUUUAAGGCACCAGACUGGGAAGACACAAGCCCCAGGGAGGUGAUGACGCUGAUAUCCACCAGUGCUCAGCACGUAGCUUCCUCUUGUCCUCAGCACAGUUCUGGACACAGGCAUGGACACUCCCAGUUUACCGAAGGAAACCAGCCCAGUGUCACACAGGUGGAAGCUGGGACUGAAAGAAUGGGAGCAGGUGGAAGGGGAGAAGCAGCUCUCAGCUGCAGAAGAGAAAUGAAAUUAGCUGCAGAAGAGCUACGGAACUACAAACUAUGUGGAAAUGUGGUUCCUGAACAUGUUUCUGGAGGUUCUGGAAUGGUUACAAACCUCAGGAAGCAGUUUGGUGGAGGACAAAUCACAUCGACAAGUAGGACCAUCCCAUUUUAGAGACCCACUUGUAACCAUGAGAAAUAUGACAAGGAUACACGGAAAAGAAGAUUUGAACUUUAUGAUGAAAGACCCUCAUUGCAGGAUUAGGGAGCUGUCGCCACAGGUAAGGAGACUGUGUCAACGUGGACCCCACAGGCAUUAAAUAAUAAAUCCAAGAUGAUGUAGUGAUGGCUUUGAGCU